CCAAGGUCACUGAUGAUCCUUGUCCACGGUCAUGAAAGUCUGACACACAAGUAGAGAUGAACAGGAAACUUUCCUAACAGAAGGGAAGAUAGAAGGCUCCUACUCUAUAGGUAGCUAUGGUUUAGAAUGAAGCAGUAAUGAAACAUGUCUCAGUGAGGAAGGAAUGAAUAAAGACCACUAAUUAGUUUUUUUAACUAUAAAGAUAAAAGAUGAACAAGCUAUCAUAGUAUCCCUCCUUGAUCUAUAAGCAGGAGUGUUUUGC
rnacentral:lncRNA from 12 species